ensembl:lncRNA
AAAGGUGAUUGCAUCUCAGGAACUUUUGAAUCUUCGAGAGAAAAUACGUUUCUCCUAAGUGUUCUUGGAGACUGCUUUGAUUCUGAGGUACUGAUGAUUGUGUGUAAGGGAAACUUACCACAAAAUUAAUUUGUGUUUUCUUCAGCUAUUUUCUCCUUUCUCCUCACGGAAGGCUUCCAUAAGCCAAGGCACACUGGAGAUACUUCUGAGGGAAAUGAAAGGAGAAGGAUUUCUUCCAAAAUAGAUACUGCCUCCUCCUCAGGAGAGCCCAGAUCAUCUCAGAGACAAUCUCAAACUCCAGACUCAACAGCAACACAUGGCGGGAGCAUAAGAAGCACCUGCUUGCUGUCUGAUAAUCGCACGGCUGGCCCUGUUGUUCGCUGGGGAGUUCAGCUCUGAUCUCAGGGAAGAAAUCAUCCACCCAUUUCCCUUGUCCUUGUCACUUUGCUGCCUCAAACUUUCCUACAGCUCUGGCUAGUCUGGUUUUCAUUUCCUGCCUAAUUUAUGCUGCUUCUUGCUUCUAUAGCUACCAUAUGGAGAGUGAGCUACUGUGGCCUCCCCCUCAAAAAAAUAAAAAGGUUUCUUGUAUGCUGUGUUUUCUAAUUUCUUUUUUUGCAAGAGGCAGUAGACUUCAAAGGUUUGGUCUGGCACUGAAAGUUGGGUGGG